AGGAAAAACUAUCAUACACUGAAGGAGAUAUAAAAGCUGAAUCAACUAAAUAUAGUGUGGACAUUGUCUGAAAUGAAAUUUGAAGAAUCUAAAGAACAGAAUGGCAUUUUGAGACAAUCAUGGAACAUUAAACAUGAAAGAGGAGGAGACUGAGACAUUGAAAUUGUAAGCCACUUGCUCAGGGACCCAGGGAGAAGGAGCCAAGGGGGCGAGAAACUAGGUACUAACAGAAGGAUAGUCCUGUGGUUCCCGGUGUGCUAUCUGUACAUGUGAUCAUUUUUCUCCUACUCAAGAAAACACACCAGAAUGCAAGUUGGUGAAUUUUUGU